AAAUAAUUACCAUGUGUAGCGAAUUUUUUAAAAAGCAAAAUCAGUGCUUCUUAUUAAGAUGGUGCUUUGAGCUGUAAGAAUGCUAUUUUCAGAUUCCCUCAUGCCUCUGCUGCACAUUGCAUUGUGAAUUUGGCUUCAAGCAGACCAAGUCUUUUAGUCACAAGAGGGCACAACUACAGAAAUGGGUUAGACCGUGUUUUUCUUCUUCCUGUGACUGCAGAGAUGAAGGGAAUGAAGACUUCUGACACCAGCUUGCUUGAUGGACUCUGCUCUUCAGCAUCUUCCAAUAUCAGCUCUGCUACUUGCCUACUGGCUUGAUGUUCAAACACAUUCUAAGAUUGGCACUAACUUCUGGUACUUGUACAGUGUAUGCUCAACUUCAGGUUUGCCCAACUUCAAGCACAAGAAGGAAGACAGGAAGAGACCCACUGACUCUCACGUUGUUGUCCUUGCCUGGAUAAGGAAGCAGAGAAACGUAAAGGAAUACAUUCACAAACACACGUACACAAAGACAGAGAGGGACCUUGUGACGCUGAUACAUCCAAUGGCCAGGAGAUUUUGGGGGUAGAUUCUGCAUCUAUCCAAACGGUAAGCUUUCUAGAGUUUCAUAUUCCAAAGAGUAUCCUCUCCAUCCUGAUUCAUCAUUUGACGUUGAUAUCCAAAGCAGAACAGUGAAGGACCACAAGGGAGGUGAGGACAUGUUAUAUUAGAUUCAGUAUUUUCUUUUGUGUUUUCUGAGAGGAGUUGGAUUGCGCAGUCGGAAAAUGCAUUCAGCAAAUAAAAGAGGAAACGGAAUUGUGCUUAGAAAAGGAAAAUACCCUUGCAGUGGGAGGAAAGCUGGUCAGUAUGGAAAGCGCCUUGGUUUUCCAAUAGCGAAUGUUGUUUUUCUUCUUAUGAUGGCUUGCUUCUGCCUGCUCACAUAUGGUUUCAAGGUGUAUGUUCAGUUGAACUCCUGUGAACAAAUCAGGAUCAAGUGGUUCUUGGGUCUGAAAUGUUCUAUUUUAUCUUUUCGUCCGGGUCUUUCCUUUAAGAAUUGAAAGUACUGCUACCUCCACCAGGAAGCCCUCCAUGAAUACUCUGACCUUCCUAAUGGCAGCUUUCUCAGACCUCUCAGAGCAUGCAUGACAGGAAGGGGUAGCUUCAGCUUGAACCGUUGCUGCUUGCGGAUCUGACGUGAAUUAUUAU
rnacentral:lncRNA from 1 species